rnacentral:lncRNA from 1 species
GAGAGCAAAACAAAACAGAGAAGGGAGAAAGAAAGAAACAGAGAGCAAAACGAAACAGAGACGGAAGGAAGGAAAGAAAGAAAGAAAAGAAAAGAAAAAGGGAAAUUUGGGGUUUUAAGGUUCAAAGUAAUUUGGUAAGUCAAUUUAAUCCCCUUUUCUCUUAAUUUUGAUAUUUUUUUUGAAAUCCUAGAGCAAAAUACUACUUGAUUUAAGUUGAAAUUUUGGAAGUUAGUAGAUUAUUAAGCAUGGUUCAUGUUGAAUAAAUUGUUAAAUUAGGGAUGUAUUUGAUAGAAAUUUUGAUUGGAAUUGAAUAAAGGAUUGAAUUGUAAACUAAACUAUAAGUUUUGAAUUUUAGGGAUUAAUUUGAAAUAAAUUCGGAAUUAUGAAAACAUGAUAAAAAUUAAAUAGUUAAAUAUGAGUUUAGUAAGAAAUUGGGUAGAAUAAGGGUAUGAAUUGAGAAAGAAAAAUAUAUAGGUUUAGUUAGGGGUUAAAUUGAUUUAAUUUCAAGUUAGAAGUUAGUAAAGAAUGUAAUUGUAAAAUAAAAUAUAAGUUUUGAAUCGAUAGGGAUUAAAUUGAAAGAAUCCCGAAAUUAGGGAUUUAUGGUGAAAUUGAGGAAUUAAAUUGACUUUAUAGUAAGAAUUAAGAGAGAAUAUAGAGUUAGAUUGGGAAAAAUAAAAUUAGUAUUGGUAAGGGAUUAAAUUAGAAUUUGGGUAAAGUUUAGGUAUAAAAGGAAAUAUUUUAAUGAAAUUGUGUAUUAAUGAUUUUUAAUUGUUUAAUUACGUAGCUAAUGUCGUGUACGAGUCAUUGUCCGAGAAAGGAAAGGAGAAAGUGGACAAGGAGUGACUCGAGAGAAAUUACGGUUAGUAUUACUAUAAUUCGAAUUUAAUUAUUAAUCGUUGAAAAUUAAAUUAAUAUACACGAUAAGCAAAUUGAGGUGAGUUUCAUAAUUGAAUUGAAUAAUAUAUAUACGUAUUGAUAUUGAAUUUAUUGACAGUAAUUAUUGAAUUUUGAAUAAUAUGUUAGUAAAUAAAAAUAAGGAGAAUAUCAAUAUUUAAUUGAAUGAAUUAAAAUAUGAAUUGAAUAAAUGAGAUAUUAAAUUGAGAUAUGUGAAUAUGUGAAUUGUGUAUUGAUUGAAAAGUGGUUUGAAUUGAAUCGAAGUAUGAUUAUAUGUGAAUAUCUGAAAUAUGUAUUGGUAUUGAAUUGUAUAUUGAUUUGAAAGUGGGAAGUGAAUCUGAGUUGAAUUGCGAUUAAAUCGAAAGUGAAUUUGAAAUAGAAAAAUGUAUUGAAACAAAUGGUGAUUAAAUGGGAAUGAUUUGAAUUGAAAGUAUGAGAAAGUGAUUGAAUUGAAAUGUGAUUCGGAAACCCUAUUAACUAGUCGGGCUGAGUCGGAUAUAGUUGGCAUGCCAUAGGAUUGGAAGAGUUCAGGGAUACUUCGACCUUGAGUCGAUGAGACACUGGGUGUCACUAUAUUUCUUCGGAUAGAUUCGAUGAGGUACUGGGUACCAACUUUACUUCGGCUGGGCCGAUGAGACACUGGGUGUCAACUAUUGCUUCGAACUAUCCGAUGAGGCACUGGGUGCCAUUUUGGUGUGUUUGGUUGGAUCCGUGUAUCCGCCAAGGUCCGAGUCUUGUUAAUAGGGGUAAAUAAUUGAAAUGAGAAAAUUGAAUAAAUGUGAUUGAUUGAGCUAUGGGAAGAAACGAAAAAGUGAAGUUGUGAAUUGAUGUGUGAAUUGGAAAUCGAAAUAAGAGAUUUAAAGAUAUGAGCCCAAAGUUCAUGAUGUGAUAAAGAGUAAAUUUUGUUAUAUGAUAUUAGUGAGUACAAAUUGCAAUAAAAUUUAUAUUGAAUAUAAAUUAAAUGAAAUGAAUUGUAUAUGAAUUGAAAUGAACUAUUGGAAUGAGAUGUAAAGAAAAAUCCGAUGGAAUUGAGAUAGUGAAAUAAGGUAUGAAUACAAUUAAAUACAAGAUUUGAAUUAUAGCUUAUUGUUAUUAAUUAUCAAGUUGAUUUAAUGCAUGAGAUAAUUAAUGAAUAAUUGUAGACAUAAAUAAAAUGUAUAUAAUUUAUCGAUUAAUGUUAUUAAUUCGAAUUAUGGUAAUACCACUGAGUAUUUCCAUACUCAGCGUACGGUUGUUUCCGUGCGUAGGUUAGGUCAAAGUCGGAUUGUUGAAUCAGCAUCCAAAGCCGAUUCUGAGCUAAUUGUGGUGGUGAACAUUUCUUUUAGUUAUGGCAUGUAUAGGAAUUUAGUAAUUUUGUAUAUUUGUAAAUAUGAUUUUACUAUAGAAUGAUGUGUAAGUAUUUGAUGAUGAAUGGUUGUUUAAAUGGUCAAGGAUG